rnacentral:pre_miRNA from 1 species
AGUGGAAUUACUGGGUCAUGUGUUAACUAUAUUUAACUAUUUGAGGAACUGACAAAUUGUUUCCAAUAGCAGUUGCACUGUUUUAUAUUUCUACUAGCAGU